rnacentral:misc_RNA from 1 species
AUUGAUUACUAUAUUUUGUUCUUUCCAGAUUGUACCGCAAGGUAUUUAAAGAAGAGUUUGGGGAGUCAACUGGUGAGGGGAUGCUGCAUAGCCUUAGAACGUACAUCUCUCAUUACAACACGCAAGUGGGCUCAGAGUGCAUGGCGCUUGAUAUAACAAGCGACAACAAAGUUGUGAUGGCUAUAUGCACUCCGCUAAUGAAGAGGGUCCAUGAAGAAGUGAAACAUGCCUCAGAGCUGGUAUUCAUCGAUGCCUCAUCGAACAUGGACAGGUACGGCUGUAGUGUCUUUUUGCUGCUGACGCAUAGUUGUGCAGGUGGCCUUCCUCUGGGGGUGCUCAUCACCUCUAGUGAAGCAGAGGGGGUGAUUGAGGCAGCCCUCAAGCUGUACCGCUCUCUCCUUCCCCAGAAGUGUUUUGGAGGAAGAGGAGUCCAAGGGCCAGCUCUCAUCAUGACCGAUGACUCUGCAGCAGAACAGAAUGCCAUCAGUCACGUUUUCCCUGCCAGUCAGACACUCCUUUGCGUGUUCCAUGUUCUCCAAGCCACGUGGAGAUGGUUGUGGAAUGGCAAAAACCAAAUCCCCAAGGAGCAGCGACCCAAUCACCUCCAACAUCUAAAGCGCCUCAUCUACGCCUGUACUGAGGAGGAGCUUGAGGAACUGUACCAGGAGAGUCUUCAAGACACAACCCUGUCCGACAAAUUCAAAGAGCAUCUUACUGGCUACUAUGGGAGGAAGGAGAAGUGGGCAAUUGCUUGUCGACUUGACCUCCAGGUGCGUGGUAAUAACACCAACAAUUUUUGCGAGGCAGCCAUGCGUGUCCUAAAGGAUAAGAUCCUGGAAAGGACAAAGGCCUUCAGUAUUCCCCAGCUGGCAGACUAUAUGUCCACCUUUCUGGAUGAAUACUACCAACAACGGCUGAUUGAUGUAGCCAAUGGACGCCUGCAGAAUGUGAUUGCCUCUAGGUAUAUGCCCCAGGAGAAAUCAAUCAAGCUCCAUGACAUCAGACAGCUCUCAGACUCCCAGUUCAUCGUAACAAGUCAGACUUCGCAAGACAGGGGGUACGAUGUCGAUAUGGAACUUGGACACUGUUCUUGUCAUGCUGGGAAGACUGGAGCCCCCUGCAAACACCAGGCAGCAGUGGUGAAACAUUUCAAUGUUUCUUCGACAAACUUUGUCCCAGUCAAUGACCCGCAGUCAAGACUACUGCUGUAUAAGAUCGCAACAGGAAAUUGUAGUGUUCCAUCAGGGUUCUUUGAUGGAUUAAUGACCCAGCCCUCAGUAUCAGGAGAUAUUUCCAUCAUGGAUGCUAGCUUCCCAGCAGAACCAGUAAUAGAUGAGAUGGAAUCUAUUCCUACAAGCCAAAUUGAUCCCAAUCCUGCUGUUGCAAGUCUGCGUGCACAAGCAGCUGCUCAGAACCACUUUGAUCUUCGAGGCUCGACAAGAUCAGCACAAACAUCUUCCAGCACCAAUGGUUUAGAAAGUACUUCAUCUAAUUCUGGCCUGCAUGGAUGAAUGAUCAAGGAUUUAGUACCGGUCUUAUAAUAAAGUCAACCUACAGGUGAUGAUUUGCAGCAUUUCUUCAGUGCCAUUUACACGUGAAAACACAAUCAAAGGUACCCGGGGGCCGUACCAUUAAACUGUCAUAAGUAUGAUGACCAGCUCCUAGAACAAUUCCAGAAUAUGCAUGAUGACCUGUGCACCAAGAUGAAACAGUCACCAGACCUCUAUAGACCCGCCAUAA